UCCCUGGUAGUAUAUCGGUUAGUACACGCGCCUGUCAUCUUUCAAGUGUGAUGUUUGUGCUCGCGCGAAAGCUGGGUUCGACUCCCAGCCAGGGAG